CGUGUAGGCGGUAAGGUAAGUCUGGUGUGAAAGACCUCGGCUCAACCGAGGGAACGCGCUGGAAACUGUCUUACUAGAGUGAUGGAGGGGAAACUGGAAUUCCUGGUGUAGGGGUGAAAUCUGUAGAGAUCAGGAAGAACACCGGAGGCGAAGGCGAGUUUCUGGCCAUCUACUGACGCUGAGGCGCGAAAGCGUGGGGAGCGAACAGGAUUAGAUACCCUGGUAGUCC
rnacentral:rRNA from 1 species